UACGAAGGGGGCUAGCGUUGCUCGGAUUUACUGGGCGUAAAGCGCACGUAGGCGGAUCGUUAAGUCGGGGGUGAAAUCCUGGAGCUCAACUCCAGAACUGCCUUUGAUACUGAGGAUCUUGAGUACGGGAGAGGUGAGUGGAACUGCGAGUGUAGAGGUGAAAUUCGUAGAUAUUCGCAAGAACACCAGUGGCGAAGGCGGCUCACUGGCCCGUA
rnacentral:rRNA from 1 species